AGUGAACGCUGGCGGUAGGCCUAGCACAUGCAAGUCGAACGGCAGCACAGUAAGAGCUUGCUCUUACGGGUGGCGAGUGGCGGACGGGUGAGGAAUACAUCGGAAUCUACUUUUUCGUGGGGGAUAACGUAGGGAAACUUACGCUAAUACCGCAUACGACCUACGGGUGAAAGCAGGGGAUCUUCGGACCUUGCGCGAUUGAAUGAGCCGAUGUCGGAUUAGCUAGUUGGCGGGGUAAAGGCCCACCAAGGCGACGAUCCGUAGCUGGUCUGAGAGGAUGAUCAGCCACACUGGAACUGAGACACGGUCCAGACUCCUACGGGAGGCAGCAGUGGGGAAUAUUGGACAAUGGGCGCAAGCCUGAUCCAGCCAUACCGCGUGGGUGAAGAAGGCCUUCGGGUUGUAAAGCCCUUUUGUUGGGAAAGAAAAGCAGCAGGUUAAUACCCCGCUGUUCUGACGGUACCCAAAGAAUAAGCACCGGCUAACUUCGCG
rnacentral:rRNA from 1 species